AUGGAGGGAAGAAAACAGCCAUAUGAAGAUCUGGAAGAAGAGCAAGGGGAGUGCAAGGCCCUACGAGGGGAUGAGCUUGGACUCGUCUGGACUCCAUCCUGCAGCCCGCGGCAGGUGCUGCUGUCUCAUGAUUCGCGAGGAACCCGGCCAUGGUGGCUGGCCCCCACCCCAGCUAUGGAUGAGGUCACCUUCAAAAGUGACACUCAGCUCUCAGAUGUACAAAUCUACACCCCGAACCACAGGCACCUCAUGGUGCGGCUGAAUGGCAUGGGGCAGCCCAUUUUCCGGUCCCAGUUCAAGCUUCUGUGGAACCGAGACUCUCAGACAGACUCAGGGGUUGAGGGUGGCCGUCAUGCCAUGGGUCCCGCAGAGGAAAUGCCUCCCUCUGGGCCGGGCAGUGCCAGAGCCCCCUCUGGGGAAUGGCUGCAGGAGUGACGCCACCAGCCAGGAGCGGGUGGGAACUCGGCUGGACGAGGACGGAGAUCUGGACGUCGAGAGGAGGCCACGGGCGGCUUCAGACCCCGAGCCAGCGGGGCCUCCGAGAGACAAGGUACAUCCCACGAUUCUAACGCAGGAGGAAGAUGACCCCCCGGCAGACGAAGCACGAGAGAGCAUCCCCCAGGAUAUCAUCAGAAUAGAACACACCAUGGCCACCCCCCUGGAGGAUGUUGGCAAGCAAGUGUGGCGGGGUGCCCUGCUCCUGGCUGACUACACCCUGUUCCAACGGGACCUCUUCCAGGGACGCACGGUGCUGGAGCUUGGGGCGGGCACGGGGCUGGCCAGCAUCAUGGCAGCCAUCGUGGCGCGUACCGUUUACUGCACAGAUGUCGGUGCAGAUCUCUUGGCCAUGUGCCAGCGAAACAGUGCCCUCAAUGGCCACCUGGGGACUCCUGCAGGAGGUGGUGUAGUUAAGGUCAAAGAACUGGACUGGCUCAAAGACGGCCUGGGCACAGAUCCGGAGGUCUCCUUCAGCUGGUCGCAGGAGGACGUCUCCGACCUGUACAGCCAUACCAUCAUCCUGCUCGCGGCCGAAGUGGUUUACGAUGAUGACCUAACCGACGCUCUGUUUAAAACGCUGUCCCGCCUCGUUCACAAACUGAAAAACGCCUGCACGGCCAUUCUGUCUGUGGAGAAGAGGCUGAACCUCAAGCUCAGACCCCUGGACGUCACGUGUGAAGCCUACCACCACUUCCGCUCCUGGCUGCAGCGGCUGGAGGGGCUUGCUGCCGGCCGGCUGCGCUUCGCGGUGGAGCGGAUGGAGGCCUCCCUCCCACAGCUUCUUGUCUAUGAGCGCAUCCGGCAGCUGGAGCUCUGGAAGAUCUUUGUGGAACCGGUAAUGUGACCCAUCGCAUCCACAAGCACGGCUUCUCGACUGUUCUUAGAAUGCGUUUCUAAUAAAAUGGAA